rnacentral:misc_RNA from 1 species
UUACAGAGGAGUAAGACAGAGGCCGUGGGGUAAAUGGGCAGCAGAAAUCAGGGAUCCGCGGAGGGCGAUGCGGGUUUGGCUAGGGACAUUUAACACAGCGGAGGAGGCGGCAAGAGCCUAUGAUAAGGCGGCGAUAGAUUUUCGAGGGCCAAGAGCAAAGCUCAAUUUUCCAUUUCCAGACAACGUUAGUAAUAGCAACAAUUCAGAAGAGCAAAGCACUCAAGAGCAAGAGCAACAACAGAAGGAAAAUGGGAAAAGAAGUGAACUUGAAUUAGAAAUGGAAAUGGGAAAGGGGAAGGAAAGUGAAUUCUGGGAAAAGAUUGGAGAAGAUGAAAUUCAAGAAUGGAUGACGAUGAUGGAUUUUUGUGGAAAUUCUUCAGAUUCUGGUGGUACUGCUACUACUAUAGGCAAAUAAUUAAUUGUAAAUUUCAAUUUUUUUAAAAAUUUUGUCUUAAUGAUUCUUACAUCUUUUUCCUGAGAGAAUCAUUAUCAAUGAUUUUAGAAUGCCAGGUUUAUAAUUCCUUUUGACGAAGUGUAUAAUAAUGAAGUAGUUACUAAUUAUAAAUUUUCA